rnacentral:antisense_RNA from 1 species
CUUCACCGAGCCGAGCAGCAGCGGGCGGUCGACGGAGCGAGCCUGGCCAUACGUCGCGAGCAGCGCGUGGGCCUC